rnacentral:rRNA from 1 species
AGAGUUUGAUCCUGGCUCAGGACGAACGCUGGCGGCGCGCCUAACACAUGCAAGUCGAACGGAGCUUGCUUAUCUGAUUCUUUCGGGAUGACGAUUUGUAAGCUUAGUGGCGAACGGGUGAGUAACACGUGAGUAACCUGCCCCAGAGUGGGGGACAACAGUUGGAAACGACUGCUAAUACCGCAUAAGCCCACGGUACCGCAUGGUACAGAGGGAAAAGGAGCAAUUCGCUUUGGGAUGGACUCGCGUCCGAUUAGCUAGAUGGUGAGGUAACGGCCCACCAUGGCGACGAUCGGUAGCCGGACUGAGAGGUUGAUCGGCCACAUUGGGACUGAGAAACGGUCCAGACUCCUACGGGAGGCAGCAGUGGGGAAUAUUGGGCAAUGGAGGCAACUCUGACCCAGCAACGCCGCGUGAAUGAUGAAGGUCUUCGGAUUGUAAAGUUCUGUGACGGGGGACGAACACAAUGACGGUAUCCCGAUAGCAAGCCACGGCUAACUACGUGCCAGCAGCCGCGGUAAUACGUAGGUGGCAAGCGUUAUCCGG